AGCAUUCCUAGUCUAUGAAUUUAUCAAACAAAAAGAUUGCACUUAAGCUCAUAAGUGUUAUUUAAAAUUUACUUUAAAAUUAAUCUUUUAAAGUUUUAUUCUACAUAGCUUAGAAAUGUUUGUUUUAAACAUGUAAGUAGAGUUCUGCUACUCAUUAGCAACCCUCCCCAUAAACUCCACAUCUGUAAUGGUCAAGAAUUUGGAGAACUGAGGUGGUCACUAAAAGGGAGAUGGGGAGCUAAAAGUUAAAUUACUAUGUCCCUUGUGUGCCAUGCCAUGUCUGCUUUUGUUCCAAAUAGUUUACCUUAUUUGGUAAUGUUAAAUUGCUAGCCUAUAACAAAGAAAGGGUGUGAACCUUUUAGAAAUUGAAUAGGAGGAAAAGGCAGACAGGAUUCAGACCACCAAGUGAAAUUGUGGUGAUACAAGCAUUCUGACUAUGAUAAGAUGCUAUAAUAGUACAGCCAGGGCCAGAUUUAGGGAUGUAAACAGGAUACAGGGCACAGGCAUUUGGGCCAUUCAUCAUCCUGCCAGUGGUUAUAUUCAAGGAAUGAAUGAUCUUGUAACGCCAUUUAUUGUUGUCUUUUUACACGAAGUUGUUUCUGCAGGAAAGAUAUUCACAGGAACAUGGCUCCAUUAGAUUGCAGGCUGAUGUUCGCACUCUGGAAUGGGGAACAAGGAGCUUCGGCAGGCGGGGUAGGCUGACUACUGUUUGACUUGGACUUUGCUGCGCAGUAACGAUAAUUCGGAUAAUUCUGUUUAUGCACUUCACGCAAUUCUUUAGCUUUUUGUACAAAAGGCUGUCGCUCAUCUUUCGAGAGGAGUUUCCACCUCUGGCCCAUCAACUUACCGACUUCUGUGUUUGGUAAGUGGGGCUAUCUCUGACAAAAACUCUUUCAGUACAUUUUAUUCCAUAACAUGAAGGAAUUCAUCGGUCUUUUAAUAUGCUUUUCUUCUGCACAGGCUUUUCUUCUAUUAGUCUGUUGUAACUAUUAAAUUAAUAAACAAAACUGAUUAUAAUGAAUUAUUAAAAUAUUUUCAUUUAUUUAUAAUUAUUGACUUUUUACUCAUCUGUUUCUAAACCCCAUAAGUGAAGAUCUUAUGGAAAAAUGUUCCUUCCCAACUCCGCCUCGUUGAGUUGGUUUCUUGUAUAUCACGACUCGAUGUAGUGAAUCAGGUUCGUCGGAAAGUACACCUCCACACUCAAAUUGAAUAUAUAUAUAGUUUAUUUACAGUUGUACAAGUCAUAAACGUAGCAUAUGUACAGGAAGAUCAUGCGUGGUGAAUUCACGUGCCAGAUUGGCGUCUGGAAACUAAUACUCUUGGGAGAGACCUCAGUCAGCUUUCGGAGUCGGCUCAACUGCACGGUCGGUCCGGUCUCAGCACUAACCCGUCCCUGAGAAGAUUAA